CACGCCGUAAACGAUGGAUACUAGCUGUAGGGGGUAUCGACCCCUUCUGUAGCGAAGCUAACGCGUUAAGUAUCCCGCCUGUGGAGUACGGCCGCAAGGCUAAAACAUAAAGGAAUUGACGGGGACCCGCACAAGCGGUGGAUCGUGUUCUUUAAUUCGAUGAUAAACGGAGAACCUUACCAGGACUUGACAUCCUUGGAAUUUCUGCGAAAGCAGUUAGUGCCUUUUGGAACCAAGUGACAGGUGA
rnacentral:rRNA from 1 species